rnacentral:rRNA from 1 species
GACGAACGCUGGCGGCGUGCUUAACACAUGCAAGUCGAACGAUGAAGCUAGAGCUUGCUCUGGUGAAUUAGUGGCGAACGGGUGAGUAACACGUGAGUAACCUGCCCCGAACUCUGGGAUAACUGCUGGAAACGGUAGCUAAUACUGGAUACGACCUACGAAGGCAUCUUCUGUAGGUGGAAAGAAUUUCGGUUCGGGAUGGACUCGCGGCCUAUCAGCUAGUUGGUGAGGUAACGGCUCACCAAGGCGACGACGGGUAGCCGGCCUGAGAGGGUGACCGGCCACACUGGGACUGAGACACGGCCCAGACUCCUACGGGAGGCAGCAGUGGGGAAUAUUGCACAAUGGGCGCAAGCCUGAUGCAGCAACGCCGCGUGAGGGAUGACGGCCUUCGGGUUGUAAACCUCUUUUAGUAGGGAAGAAGCGAAAGUGACGGUACCUGCAGAAAAAGCACCGGCUAACUACGUGCCAGCCGCCGCGGUAA